rnacentral:rRNA from 1 species
UGGGGAAUAUUGGACAAUGGGGGCAACCCUGAUCCAGCAAUGCCGCGUGUGUGAAGAAGGUCUUCGGAUUGUAAAGCACUUUCGACGGGGACGAUGAUGACGGUACCCGUAGAAGAAGCCCCGGCUAACUUCGUGCCAGCAGCCGCGGUAAUACGAAGGGGGCUAGCGUUGCUCGGAAUGACUGGGCGUAAAGGGCGUGUAGGCGGUUUACACAGUCAGAUGUGAAAUCCCCGGGCUUAACCUGGGAGCUGCAUUUGAUACGUGUAGACUAGAGUGUGAGAGAGGGUUGUGGAAUUCCCAGUGUAGAGGUGAAAUUCGUAGAUAUUGGGAAGAACACCGGUGGCGAAGGCGGCAACCUGGCUCAUGACUGACGCUGAGGCGCGAAAGCGUGGGGAGCAAACAGGAUUAGAUACCCUGGUAGUCCACGCUGUAAACGAUGUGUGCUAGAUGUUGGGUAACUUUGUUACUCAGUGUCGCAGUUAACGCGUUAAAGCACACCGCCUGGGGAGUACGGCCGCAAGGUUG